GAUGAACGCUAGCUACAGGCUUAACACAUGCAAGUCGAGGGGAAACGACAUCGAAAGCUUGCUUUUGAUGGGCGUCGACCGGCGCACGGGUGAGUAACGCGUAUCCAACCUGCCCAUCACUUGGGAAUAACCUUGCGAAAGUAAGACUAAUACCCAAUGAUAUCCCACGAAGGCAUCGGAAUGGGAUUAAAGAUUUAUCGGUGAUGGAUGGGGAUGCGUCUGAUUAGCUUGUUGGCGGGGUCACGGCCCACCAAGGCAACGAUCAGUAGGGGUUCUGAGAGGAAGGUCCCCCACAUUGGAACUGAGACACGGUCCACACUCCUACGGGCGGCAGCAGUGAGGAAUAUUGUUCAAUGGGCGAGAGCCUGAACCAGCCAAGUAGCGUGCAGGAAGACGGCCCUCUGGGUUGUAAACUGCUUUUAUAAGGGAAUAAUGUGGGUCACGUGUGACUUUUUGCCUGUACCUUAUGAAUAAGGACCGGCUAAUUCCGUG
rnacentral:rRNA from 1 species